UGGAGAGGCCGAGGCCGGCAAGGAAGGCGAGCACAGCAUCCGGCUUGGAUGGGCACUUUACGUGGGAGAUCUGCGUGGCGGCCUUGAGGGCUUGCGCUCGGGUGAGACCGCAGGUGUCGAUGAGGUACUUCUCGACGGCGAAGCUAGGCCUUGGGGAAACGGCGGCCGCAGCCGCGGAGAGGUGUCGGUGGAGAGGCCAGACA